rnacentral:rRNA from 1 species
GAUGAACGCUGGCGGCGUGCCUAAUACAUGCAAGUCGAGCGAACAGAUAAGGAGCUUGCUCCUUUGACGUUAGCGGCGGACGGGUGAGUAACACGUGGAUAACCUACCUAUAAGACUGGGAUAACUUCGGGAAACCGGAGCUAAUACCGGAUAACAUAUUGAACCGCAUGGUUCAAUAGUGAAAGGCGGCUUUGCUGUCACUUAUAGAUGGAUCCGCGCCGUAUUAGCUAGUUGGUAAGGUAACGGCUUACCAAGGCAACGAUACGUAGCCGACCUGAGAGGGUGAUCGGCCACACUGGAACUGAGACACGGUCCAGACUCCUACGGGAGGCAGCAGUAGGGAAUCUUCCGCAAUGGGCGAAAGCCUGACGGAGCAACGCCGCGUGAGUGAUGAAGGUCUUCGGAUCGUAAAACUCUGUUAUCAGGGAAGAACAAAUGUGUAAGUAACGGUGCACUUCUUGACGGUACCUGAUCAGAAAGCCACGGCUAACUACGU